UUUUUGAGAUGGAGUCUCACUGUUGUAGCCCAGGCUGGAGUGCAGUGGCAUGAUCUUGGCCCAUCCUGUAUCAUACUCACAGAGAGACCCUUUUUUUCUCCAAGGCCUGGGGGGCAGCCAGGUUCCAUGAGUUAAAUGCAGAACUGAACCAUACCGAGCUGGGAUUAAAGUACACACUCUCCUCUUCUGAAAAGUAGCUAGGGAUUCCAACGUGGUGUAGUGAAGAAUGUGACAUAGCCAGGCCAGACAAGGACUGAUCACCUGGAAAAGCAUGCUAUCAAAGGCCUUGGCCAGAAUUCUAAAGUCAGUCCCACUGACUCAAGGUGGGAGCAGGGUGGGUCCCUUCCAAGUCUCUGUAGGAGAGUGUGUUUCCUGGCCCUGGAGGCAGCCUGCACUCCUCAGCUUGUGCUGUCCUUCUUGAAUGACUCAAGGUUUCUGCUUCCAUCACUACACUUCCCACAGCUCUCCAUCACCUGCUCUGCUCUUAUAAGGAUCCAGAUGAGCUGGCUGCAGUCUUGGUUCCCUGCAAUGUUUGCCUCCUGGGUUCAAGUGAUUCUUCUACCUCAACCUCCAGAGUAGUUGGGACUACAGGUGCCUGCCACCAUACCUGGCUAAGUUUUGUAUUUUUGGAGGAGAUAGGGGCAAGGAGGGGGUAGUGGAAGGUGGAAAAGGGGACGGAAGUUUCUUCUAUGUUUCUCUGAGCUCAAAGCGAUCCACCUACCUCUGCUCCCAAAGUGCUAGGAUUACAGGCCUUCAUUACCUCACUGGCUGCUGUGAAGUCUUAUUUCCACACAGCUGAGACAUGUUUUAGGAAGUUUGCUAAAAGAACCCUGGAGACCUUCUCAUUGUGGCCUCCCUGUUACCAUAUUUAAUUUGAUGGAUCUUUUCUGCCCUCCUGCUUUUCAGAAAUUAAAAGGAUAAAAAGAGGUACUAAACUUUAAAACUUUCUUCUAGUCUCCAAUUAAACUAAUUAUAAGAACCACCAAAAAAGGGAAUUUUUUUUUUCAAAAGCAGUAAAAUGAUAUGAACUGUUGAGAUGUAAAAUAUAGGAAAUAAGUCAUUAUAUGUUAGUGUUGCUCUGACAUAGGGUUGUAUUGAGAAUCAAGCUUUGCUCAAUUUUCAGAGAAAUGGAAUGAUCGUAUUGCUGAUCUGUGUAAACAUUGAAGAAUUAUCUGAAAGAAAAUAUGGUAUGUCUGAACUGGAAAAGUCCUGUAAUACUUUGUUCAUGAAUGUUCACACAGUGGAGUCACUGUUCAUCUUGUAGUGUGUGCCUAAAUAUUAGAAACAUUCUUUGUUUCUAGAUUACUACAAAGCUAAGGAAAAGUUGUAUCUCUUAAAUUAUCAGUUAGCAUUUCUUUCAAACUUUCAGCAUGGAUAUUGGGGAUUUGUUUACAUAUUUAUUAUAAAG